GGCCUGAUGGUCUAGUAGUAUGAUUCCUUGUUAGGGCACUGCUGGAUUACCUAACUCCAGCAAUCACGUGAUCUAUCGAGGAGGUCCCGGGUUCAAUUCCCGGUUAGGCCC